AUUGAACGCUGGCGGAAUGCUUUACACAUGCAAGUCGAACGGCAGCACGGGGGCAGCCCUGGUGGCGAGUGGCGAACGGGUGAGUAAUACAUCGGAACGUGCCCGGUCGUGGGGGAUAACGUAGCGAAAGUUACGCUAAUACCGCAUACGAUCUGAGGAUGAAGGCGGGGGACCUUCGGGCCUCGCGCGAUCGGAGCGGCCGAUGUCAGAUUAGGUAGUUGGUGGGGUAAAGGCCUACCAAGCCGACGAUCUGUAGCUGGUCUGAGAGGACGACCAGCCACACUGGGACUGAGACACGGCCCAGACUCCUACGGGAGGCAGCAGUGGGGAAUUUUGGACAAUGGGCGCAAGCCUGAUCCAGCCAUUCCGCGUGCAGGACGAAGGCCUUCGGGUUGUAAACUGCUUUUGUACGGAACGAAAAGGCUCUGGCUAAUACCUGGGGCUCAUGACGGUACCGUAAGAAUAAGCACCGGCUAACUACGUG
rnacentral:rRNA from 1 species